rnacentral:rRNA from 1 species
UGCGUAGGCGGAAUAUUAAGUCAGUGGUGAAAUCCUGCGGCUCAACCGUAGAACUGCCAUUGAUACUGAUAUUCUUGAAUGUAGUUGAGGUAGGCGGAAUGUGUAAUGUAGCGGUGAAAUGCUUAGAUAUUACACAGAACACCGAUUGCGAAGGCAGUUUACUAAACUAUGAUUGACGCUGAGGCACGAAAGCGUGGGGAGCGAACAGGAUUAGAUACCCUGGUAGUCC